AGGGUAGAAUCCAGCCCCACAAGCGGCGGCGAUGCUAAUCAGGCCGCUAAGAUGGAAAAGCAUCCCCGAAGACCGGGAGGAACGCCGCGGGGACCUGUGGCUUAGCGCGCUCCGCCCGGGCUUGUCUGCCCGCGGGGGCGCAGCGGCUGAGGCGGCUCCGGGCCGGAGUUCCAAUCAAGCGCCACCCAACUCCCAGUCGGGGGCCGAGGCCAGCGCCGGGAUGCCAGCUUCCCCCAAAAAGAUCCUGCCUCAGGGAAAUGCAUGGAGCCGGCGGAAAAGCCCGCGGCGCCCCCGGCGGAUCGCAGACCCUAAGGGGGCGGGAGGUGGCGCCCCAGUCCCAACCUCUUGAGCCAACCCAGUGGGUGGGAAGUGCCCUUACCCUAGGCCUUCCGCAAAGUGUUCUCUCCUUGUAUUAUUCUAAUUACGGUAUUUUUAAUUUCCUUAAAAAAAUAAGAAACAGAAAAGCACAGAA
rnacentral:lncRNA from 1 species